UACGGGGGGAGCAAGCGUUGUUCGGAUUUACUGGGCGUAAAGGGCGCGUAGGCGGCCACCGCAAGUCAGUUGUGAAAUCUCUGGGCUUAACCCAGAAAGGUCAACUGAUACUGCGGGGCUAGAGUGCAGAAGGGGCAACUGGAAUUCUCGGUGUAGCGGUGAAAUGCGCAGAUAUCGGGAGGAACACCGGUGGCGAAGGCGGCUCUCUGGGCCUGUCCUGACGCUCAUGCGCGAAAGCUAGGGGAGCAAACAGG
rnacentral:rRNA from 1 species